GUCCACGCCGUAAACGAUGGAUACUAGCUGUUGGGAGUAAUCUCAGUGGCUAAGCGAAAGUGAUAAGUAUCCCACCUGGGGAGUACGUUCGCAAGAAUGAAACUCAAAGGAAUUGACGGGGGCCCGCACAAGCGGUGGAGCAUGUGGUUUAAUUCGAUGAUACGCGAGGAACCUUACCAAGGCUUAAAUGUAGAUUGACCCAUUUGGAAACAGAUCUUUCGCAAGACAAUUUACAAGGUGCUGCAUGGUUGUCGU
rnacentral:rRNA from 1 species